AAACCGGUGGAUUACUGAGUCAAGCGCACCAACUAAACUGACUUUUUUGGGAUAUAAAGAAGGACUUUAUCGAACAAAAGGUCCAUUUGUUAUGUAGCUGGGACACUUGUGAUUGCAACCAGAUGAAGAUCUUGAAAGAAAGACCUUUGUGAAGACCAACUUACAGAAGAGGAGAGGCAAUAACAUCUUUUCAGUCUGGAAAAACACCAAGGCUUGAUGGGAUACCAGUAGAGAGAUGAGGGAGGAAGGUUCUGCUAACGGUGGUUUGCUGAUGGAGUUUUGUUAAUUUCCUAAUGGUUUCUUGUGGGAAAUUAAAUCACCAACACUAUAUUCAAAAUACUCAGAUAAAGCAAUUCAUACUGUCAUAGAUUUAAGGAAAUUGUUAUACAUUUACAAAAAAAAUUUAACAAUAAGACAUUUGGAAGAAUGUAUUAUAAUCAAAAGCGUGG
rnacentral:lncRNA from 1 species